rfam:Brachypodium distachyon strain Bd21 chromosome 3, whole genome shotgun sequence.
AAAAGCCGUAUUCGAUGAAAGUUGUAUGUAUGGCUUGGAGGGAGAUCUUUCCUAUCUUUCGAGAUCAACCCUAC